rnacentral:lncRNA from 1 species
CAUGCCAGCUUAAAUACCCCUGACCCCAUGCCAGUGUAGACAGCCUGCAGUACCCAUACCAGUGUAGACCACCCCGUUGAUCUCUAGGGCCAUGUUGAUACUGCUGAUGCCACUGCCUGCCAGAUUAAGAGGCCCAUCCAGCCGCUCUUCUGUCCAGGAGGGGGCAGAGGAAUCACAUUUUGGAGAAUCAGACUUCAGACUUAUUAAUAGAAUUUCCCCCCUCCAUCCCUGUAGACAGCCCCCAUUCCACUUCAGCCCCACACGUAUACUCACACAAUUGUCUAUAAAGGAAUCUGUCUGCCCCCUCUCUAACACCUAUCAGGUGAUGGGUCAAUCCUCCCUCAGUGUACAGUCCCGAAGCCCCCUCACAACAAACCCCUCCUCACCCCUCAGGGGAACCUUGCCACGGGGCAGGAAACUGGGGGGCAUGCCAGGUCGAGGUGGGUCCAUGGGCCCCAUCAGCACAGCUCUCUUUUCUGGAGGCUCCUCUGGUGCCAGUUUCUCCCGUGUAGGUCCCAAUGCCAGGCCCACAGGCAGUGCCAGGCGAGGGGUUGGAAUUCCACUCUCCUCUGGAAGAACAGGUUAUUCAGCUCCCCUGGCCAAACCAACCCAUCUCUGCAUUUGGUUCUCCCCCAGGCCUGGGACCAAAAGAGGUAACUCAAGCUCAUGUACCAAUCUCUCAUCCUUCAUUCCAUCUAUCUUCCCAUCCAGAGCCUCAGUCUGGAAGCGCUGAAGCUUUUCUCUAGAGCCCAAAGGAUUAAUGUACAUGUCUAGAGAAUCUGGGGGUUGUUUUCGACUGUUGGUUAUUAAAUAAUCCAGGUCACAAGAGGCACAAACUAUAUGCAAAUAGGAGCACUGGGUAGACAGGUGUGGAAUGGAGCUGCUGUGAUUAAAAGACCUUUUCCUGGCUGGGCGCGGUGGCUAAGCCUGUAAUCCCAACACUUUGGGAGGCCGAGGCGAGCGGAUCACGUGGUCAGGAGAUCGAGACCAUCCUGGCUAACAUGGUGAAACCCCAUCUCUACUAAAAAUACAAAGAAAAAAAAAAAUUAGGCGGGCGUGGUGGCGGGCGCCUGUAGUCCCAGCUACUCGGGAGGCUGAGGCAGGAGAAUCGUUUGAACCCGGGAGGCGGAGGUUGCGGUGAGCUGAGAUCGCGCCACUGCAGCCACUGCACUCCAGCCUGGGCGACGGAACGAGACGCCGUCUCAAAAAAAAAAAAAAAAAAA